CCAUUGGAAAAAUGUAGUACCUAGGGCGGGUCCAUAGUCCUUCACUGCUUCCCUUGGAUAGGGGAGGGAGGUCCCUCGGCUCAUUGUACUUCCUGGAUGAAGCAAUGCCCCACCCUGCUUCUGCUAGCUCACUGUGGGUUGCACCCACCGCCUAACCAGUUCCAUUGAGAUGAACUGGGUAUGUCAGUUGGAAAUGCAGAAACCACCCACCUUCUCUGUUGGUCUCGCUGGGUGCUGCAAACCAGAGCCGUUUCUAUUCAGCCAUCUUGGCCCUUCCUCCCAUCUGUAUAUCUUAAUUUUACCUUUCUUUUUGAAAGCUAACUUGGGAGAAUAUAGAAUUCUAGGCAAAAUUGUUGAGCCAAGGUCCUGGAACUGUGAGUAAGAAAAUGACAAACCCAUCUCUCAGUGGCACCCCUACUGCAGGAGUUGAGCACUCAUUAGAGAAGGGUAGACUGGGAAGACCCUGCCUAAGAAUCUGAUUUAACCUGUGGUGCAGAAAAGCACUAAUUUUGAUGUUGGGAGGAUUUUGUGCACCCAGCAAGGAGCAGAGCACUCUGCUGACUGCCGUAAUAUAGGUAACAGACCUUAUUUGGUGCAUGUGUCACUAGGCCGCCCAUGUGAUGAGAAAGAUAUGAUGCCAUAGAGAACUGAUCUACUCUAAAUAAUAAAGCCCUGAAAACCAUCAUUCUACUCUUGAUAGAUAACUAGAUAAAAGAAAAUAUGGUAUAUACACACAAUGACAUAGCAUUCAACCUUUAAAAGAAGAAAAUCUUGCCAUAGACAACACUAUGGAUAAACGGAAGGAUAUUAGGCUGAGUGAAAUAAGCCAAUCAGAGGAGAGCAGCAGGAAAUGGACCUGAAUAUCCUCUUAGCAGCCAUGACUGGAUGCCAAAUGGGACAAAGAAGAACUUUGAAUAUGACAUCACACUACCUCCUGCACUGUGGUUCCUGAUAAGAAAUCAGCCAUUCAUCUUACUGAGACUCCUUUAGGAUUGGUGCCCUCAUAAGAAGAGAAAGACACACCAAAGCACUUCCUUUGAUGUGAAGAUACAGUGAUAAGGUAGCACUUUCCAGGGUGUCUGCUGUGUUUCUGAUCCAGGGAGGCACCCGCUGCUGCUCCUGAUGGGCUAGAGGCUCGCCAUUGUUCCUGCUAGGCUAAGUGCCUGGGUUCGUCCUAAUCGAGCUCAACACUAGUUGCUGGGUUCCACGGCUCUCUUCCAUGACCCGCGGCUUCAAAUAGAGCUAGAACACUCACCGCAUGGCCGACGGUUCCAUUCCUUGGAAUCCAUGAGGCCAAGAACCCCAGGUCAGAGACCAAAGGCUUGCCGCCAUCUUGGGAGCAGCCUGCCACCAUCCUGGGAGCUCCAAGAACAAAGAUCCACCUGUAACAAUAAGAUUUAUUGUCCAGAAGAAGAAUGUCACAAGGUCGAUUGAUCAGGAUCUUACUGUUACCCAGGAUGAAGUACUGUGGCAUGAUCACAGCUCCCUGAAGCCUCAACCUCUCCAAGCUCAGGUGAUUUCUUCCACCUCAGCCUCCAAAGUAGCUGGGACUACAGGCAUGCGCCACUACACCCAGCUAAUUUUUUUGUGUGUUUUGGAGAGAUAGGGUUUCAUCAUGUUGCCCAGGCUGGUCUGAAACUCCUGGACUCAAGCAAUCUACCCACCUGGGCCUCCCAAAGUGCUAGGAUUACAGGCAUGAGCCACUACGCCCAGCAAGGUAUUUUCUGAAAAGGUGGAUUGCUGCUUCAAAGGACCUGGACCCAGAGGCCCUGUCCAUGAAUGUUUCUUGCUUGGUUCCGAGGCCACCAAACAUACUGGCUGAGCCUUCUGUAUUCACCCUGGCCUAUCAAUGCCAUCUAUGAGAGCAGCCACACUGAGAGAGCAGCAGCAUGGAGCCUACUCAAGGGUUUGUUUCAAAAAUAUAUGGAAAACAAGAAAAACCAAAAGAGGAAACCAUUUCUAAUGAGGAGACUAGUUCAAUUAUUCUGAAGUCAAGCCCUGCUAAUCAAGGAGUUGGACCGACUGUGACAUUUGGGGAAGCCCCACAGAACAGCAAGAAAGACUGGCCAAAUUUGCAGUGCGGAGGUCCAGGAAAGAGCCUGGAUAGUGAGCAGGUUGUUUGCUGCCGACCCUAAAGAUGCAGGAAUCCAGCCAUGACCAUGCAGUUUUGGCCACACAAAUACCUUUGUUCAGAGAGGUUUUCAGCUGAGGUGACAUUUCUGCAAACAAAGUAGACUUGGCUUCCCUGGAAAGUGAUGGAACCAUUGAAAAGCCAGAAAAAUAAAGAGUUUUAAUGGAGUAAAAAUUACAAAUGCCACAUGGCAUAUGGGAUACAUUGUGAAGAAGUAAUCAUGAGACUAGAAGCCAUAGAUUUAAUAAGACUCGAUUCUCACCACAUGUACAAACAGAAUUAGGAAUAAAUCGCAUACAAUGAUCCCGGUAGAAGACACAAAACUUCCACGUCAGAGACAAAGGAUUUCAUUACUCAUGGCAAAAGCAGGAAUCAGAGCUUCACAUUUGCUGGUGUCAAUUUCUCAUACCCUCAAAUCCCAGAAGCAUGACACAAAAGAGUCCAUGAUGGAUGUCUGAAUACACAGUGGGCUGUGUUAGAAGAGAGUAACACUGAGCUCAGGUGAUCUCUGCUUCUGUAGUAAGCUUGCACUUUGUCUCGGGGGAGACAUUCCCUCAUCACUCAAGACUGUUCCCUGCAAACACAACCUUGAAUAAUGGCCCAGAAGAGUGGUGAGAGUUCUAAAUUCCUGGCACUUCCAGCAAGUAUGCUCAGGAACACCAGGGCCCAAAGUGGAUUGCCUCUUCCUAAAAAUAUGUUUAUGACUGAAGCCCUUUCCUUUAAAAUGUUAGGUGAAUAUGGAUCUUUUAUUUGCUGUCCUAUUUCAUUUUCAAUAAUUCUGAGUAUGACUCACCAAAAUGAUUUCACAAAAUAAUCUGUAGUAACCUUCAAUUUAAACAACAAACAAAUAAAAAAAAUUGCUAUGUUAAGUAUAUAUUUGAGAGUGUAAUUGCAGAAUUACAUUCUUCCUUAACAUACAAUGUGAAUGGUUUUAUAAAGUGAUUUGUCAGUUAUUUAUCAUUUGCUUUUCACAAGCGGUGUAUGAAUAUUCCCCUUGCCAUAUGUCUCCACCACCACUUGGUUUUGUCAGACAUUUAUUGUUUGAUAAUCAAAUACUGCAUAAUUAUAUCUGAUUUGGUUGUAAUUUGCAUUUUACUUAUUAUUAAUGAGGUUUAGCAUUGCCAUAUGUGUAUAAGUCAUUUGUUUUUCAUUGUCUGUUAAAUGUCUGCAUAUGACUUUGGCCCGUUUUAAAAUUGAGAUAUUUCUUUCUUUUAGAUUGAUACAUGAAUUAUUUACAUUUGUGAGUUAUGAAUAUUGUCAAUAACGUCUCACUGUAGAUCAAUUUUUCACUGAAUUUCUGGUAUCAUUUUAUAAAUUAAAUUUAUUUUAAUGUUUCAAGUAUUCUAUUUUAAACUGAUAUUUUAUGGUAUUUGUCAUGUAUAAGAACUCAUUCUAGAUCAUUAGUCAUAAAGAUAUUCAUCUAAAUUUUCUUCAAAACUGUUAAAUGUCUUUAACAUUUAAGUCCUAAAUACAUCUGAACUGGUCCAAUAAUCCAAAUGAAUCAAAUAUCUAAGAAAAACUGUAACAAAGGAAGAGACAAAUCUAUAGAGAGUACAUUAUAAAACAUUCUUGAGGGAGAAUCAAUAUGAACCUAAAUUAAUAGAAAACUAUUUAUGGAGGGAAAGACAGUAUGUAAAGAAGCAAAUUAUCUUCAAUUCAUCUGUAAAUUUACUGCAAUCUCAAUAAAAAGUCAAGUAGAAGCUUUUUUGUUGAAAUUGAUAAGCCAAUAAUAAAUUGUAAAUAUUCAAAGAUCUAAUGAUAGCUAAUGCAAUAUUGAAGAUAAACUGAAAUUUUGGAGAAUCAAGACUUAUUUGAGGAUUGCAGUAAUGAAGACAGUGAUUAAUUGUGCAAGAAUAGACAAACCAUCCAAGAAAACAAAAUAGAGAGCUGAAAAGCAGACCCAGGCUUAUAUUGAUCAGUGAUAUAGGUGGCAUAACAGGAGGGUGACAAAAAGACAGUUAUUUCCAUAAAUUGUACUUCAUCAAUUGUAUAUCUGAGAGAGAGAGAAAGAGAGAGAAAUUGUUUUUAUUCAUAGUAUAAUAUAUAAUUGCUUCUAUUCAUAGAGAGAAAGACAGAGAGAUAACUGUUUCUAUUCAUAGUAUAAGCAUCUUAAUUUCAGGUGGUUUUUAGAUUUUUAUGUGAAAGUUAAAAAUAGUAAAUCCUAAGAGAGGAUAAUAUAGAGGACGUUUUCACCACAUGGGGUAUAUAAAGAUUAAUAAAACUGGACACAAAGUCUCUGAUUAUAAAAAAAAUUGACAAAUAUUUUGACUGUAAGAGAUUAUAUUAAUAAAUACACAAUACAAUUUUAAGAGAAAUGAAAUGAGAAAUGAAAAGAGCAGCAGUAGAGUGGGAUGUCAAAGUACAUAUGACUGACAAAAAAUUACAAAAUCAAGACUAAAAUGGCAUACCACUAGAGCAGCUAUAAAUACAAAGAGUAAAAAUGCUCUUCUGUUUGGAGGACGUGAAGCAUGUUCUUGGGCACUGAUUACGUGAGUAGGUAGCUUUUCCUGAUUAUAUCCUCUGCAGAGUUUUCAUAGUGUAUCAUGUCUAGAUCACAACUGGAAAGAUCUAUGGCAAAUUCAUCAUCUGUCAAUGAGCGCAACCAAUAUUUGUUACAAUUUUACCAUGUUUAAUUGUGAAAGAGUUCUUAGAGCAUCAAAACACAUAUCCAGAAAUACUAUCCUCAAGUACCAGGCAAUAUUUAUUUUUUUUCAGUUACUUUUCUGCCCUAUAUUUAUCACUAAGCUCAUAUGAACUUUUAAUUUUUUAAAAAAACCUUUAGGUGUCUGUUUUACUCAUUCCAGAGAGAAGGAACUUAUUGGCACAUGACUGAUUUAUUAAAUACACUCAAUAAAAGUUGGCAUUUUUACAGUCAGCAAGCUCAAUAAAGUUCACAAAUAAAUCUUCUAUAGUUCUCAUAUUUACAUAUUUCUCAUAUUACUCUUUACCUAGGUAUCUAUCAACUUUGAAAGAUCCAAAAAUAGAACAUGAGGGCCAUAAUUGUCUGGAAAUGAGGAGAGGGUAUAUUUCUUUGUGAGAAUUUUUUGUGUAAAUGAGUAAGUUAAGAUGAUAUUAUAAAACCAAUUAUUAUAAAAUUCCUGAGGAUAUCCUCUAUAGCAUGUACUUUGGCAUUGAUUAUCUAUAUGAGUAGGUAGCUUUUCCUGAUUACAUCCUUUAUAAAGUUUUCAUAGCAUAUCAUAGCUAUGAAAAUAUUUUUCAGAAAAAGAUAAACCACACAGGAAUAAAUGAUAAAGUGAAUGAUAACUUUUCAGUUAAAAAAAGAACUAAAUGUACAAUGAAAUUUGGGACUAAAUAAAUGGCACUUCUGCACAAUUCAGAUCUUUUUCCCCCUUAUGCUGAGCCUACUUUGUUGUUUUGCAUAACCUACAACAUGUAGACAUCUCAGUUAGAGACCUCUAUCCCAUACCCUUUUUCCCCAAAAGUUCUUUCCUUUCAUCAGUGAUGGCUGAGUCGAUUCUUAGACUAGUUCCAAUGUAUUCCCUUGAUGUAAUCAUCAGAUCUGUCUCCCCUCAGCACCUUGUUUGGGGAUGCUUCUCAUUCUCUAUGCCUAGGUACAAUUUCAAAUCCAGAGUUGGAGCUGUCAUCUUCAUAAAUUCUCCUUAGAUUAUAGGAGUUCACAAAAUCUUGUCAUUUCUGUGUACUCUUCUCGGUCUUAAGAAAUGUUUCUCCUGGAAUAACCUGUGGUCACCCUCUGAUAGGUAUGUUCUGUUAUUAUGUUUUUGUGUAAAUUUUGUCAAGCUAAUGUAACUGUGAUUUUAUUUCACAUGAUCUAUAGGGCCUUACACAAACCUGAACCUAAUAAAGACAUGUGGGACAUAAUCUCAAAAUGAUAUCACUGAAACUCAUUUCCAACCCAAUUAAACUGUUCUCCUAGGGUUGGUUGACAGUCCAGAAUUAUUAGGCUUCUCAGUGGAGCCAGAACAAUCUGUCCAGUGAUACUUGAUCCGAUCAAGUGUUUUCAUGGGUGGUUUGGAAACCAUGUCUUGCUUUGCAGAUGUUAUUUAUCACAAAGUUGCCCCUAGCCCUUUAAUGUUGAGGAUUUGAUAUUAGUGGAGUUGUGGAAGUGAAAUUAUUAGGGUGUCCUUAAAGUCCUUUUCCAUAAAUGAAUGAUUUAUUGGAGCAAUGAAAGAAAGGAAUAAGUUUGCCUGCUCAAUAUAGCCCGUCAUUUUUGAUGAAUGUGACUCACCUUUCUGUAAGAAGUUCAAUUUAGCACUGGUACCAAUUCUUGAAUUUUAUAGAGAAGGAAAUUGUAAAAUGUCUUAGAAAUGUGGCCACGGAGAGAACAAACUGAGGUUGAAUGAUGCAAAAUCAGAACUACACUGAAUGCAACGUAAUGCCAAUGCUGUUCAAUGCCAAGAGACUUACAGGAUAAAAUUUGGCUUUUUCCUUUUGAAAUAAUAUUAGCUUGCUAUUGAGUAAAAUCAGGUAGCAACACUUCAUAACUCCAUUACCUACCUGUUUUGUAUUCAUUAAAGUGUGGCUUUCUUGGCCUGACUGUCAGUGGUAUGCUGAGAUGGCUUGCCACAGCUCCAGAGUGCAUUGUAUAUAUUUCUUCUUGACUUCACGUUAAGUGACAUUAUGUUGGUAGCUUGGAAUUGGUCAUGAUGAAGCUAUAUAUACCAGGAAAACUGGCACAUGCUGCAAAUGAAGGCUCCUGCUCUUCCAGAGAUCUAACUGUUAAGUAUUUAUCAGCAUACUACUAACCUGUGUUCAAAGGUUGAACUGCAGAAGCCUCU
rnacentral:lncRNA from 1 species